rnacentral:misc_RNA from 1 species
GAUGAAGAACGUAGCGAAAUGCGAUAAGUAAUGUGAAUUGCAGAAUUCAGUGAAUCAUCGAAUCUUUGAACGCACCUUGCGCCCUUUGGACAUUCCGAAGGGCAUGCCUGUUUGAGUAUCAUGAACACCUCAACUCUCACGGCUUGUCCGUGAUGAGCUUGGACUUUGGGGGUCUUGCCGGCCUGUGGUCGGCUCCUCUCAAAUGGAUCAGCUUGCCAGUGUUUGGUGGCAUCACAGGUGUGAUAACUAUCUGCGCUUGUGGUUUUCCAUCAGAUAACCUUCAGUGAUAUGGAUGUUCGCUGGAGCUCACAAAUGUCUCUCCUUAGUGAGGACAGCUCUUUGAACGUUUGAUCUCAAAUCAGGUAGGACUACCCGCUGAACUUAAGCAUAUCAAUAAGCGGAGGA